rnacentral:rRNA from 1 species
GACGAACGCUGGCGGCGUGCCUAAUACAUGCAAGUAGAACGCUGAAGGAGGAGCUUGCUCUUCUGGAUGAGUUGCGAACGGGUGAGUAACGCGUAGGUAACCUGCCUGGUAGCGGGGGAUAACUAUUGGAAACGAUAGCUAAUACCGCAUAACAGUAGAUGCUGCAUGACAUUUGCUUAAAAGGUGCAAUUGCAUCACUACCAGAUGGACCUGCGUUGUAUUAGCUAGUUGGUGGGGUAACGGCUCACCAAGGCGACGAUACAUAGCCGACCUGAGAGGGGGGUCAGCCAGACUGGGACUGAGACACGGCCCAGACUCCUUCGGGAGGCAGCAGUAGGGAAACUGCGGGAAUGGACGGAAGUCUGACCGAGAAACGCCGCGUGAGUGAAGAAGGUUUUCGGAUCGUAAAUCUCUGUUGUAAGAGAAGAACGAGUGUGAGAGUGGAAAGUUCACACUGUGACGGUAUCUUACCAGAAAGGGACGGCUAACUACGUG